rnacentral:lncRNA from 1 species
UAGCCACAGCCGGGCGGCCCCUCCCUGCCUCGCUGGCCUCCACUCUGGAGCGGCACUUCCUGAGGCUCUGAGGGCCACGCUGGGUCCGGUCCGGGCUUGGCCUCCGCCCGGGCCGGGCCUCUGCUGCCCGCCGCCCCCCAGGGCCUGGCUUGAGGACGCCUCUCCUUCAGGAACGCGCCCUGGCCCAGCCACACGUGAGCCUGGGAAGACUUAAAGGUCAGCGUCUAUAAUUGAAUUUGCCUCCAGAUAAAAAUAGCGUCUUUGUAACCGUUUAAAUGGUUCUGCAGGAGGGGGAGCUGGGCCUCGGGUCUCCUGCGGCAGGUGUGUGCGCAAGGGCUGACUGUGAGUGUGCUGUGAGUGUGCGCCUGUCUGUGAGGCACACGUUUGUGUGCUGGGUGUGCGUGCGUGUGCGUGUGCAUGUCAGCGUGUGUGUGCGUUGCAUGCGUGCGUGUGCGUGCACACGCGUGUGCCAGGACCUGCUUCCUGCGCCCCGCGCGGCUCUACCAGAGCUGCGGCCAGGGCUGAAGCCUGGCAUCCCGCCUGAGCCCGCCGGGUGUGUCACCUGCCCGCCAAGCCCGCUCUGCGCGGGGAGCUGCCGAGGGGACCCAGCCCCGGGCUCGGUGCAGAGCGGGAGUUGGGGGCUGGCGGCAGGGGCUGGGGCUGGGCUGAGGGGCAGGGCGCGGAGGGCCCAGCGGGCACCCUGGGCGGUGUCCUCCCCAGGUGCCUCGGUUUCCCCUCUGCAUCCAGGGCUGCAUCCGGGUGCCUGUCCCCAUGCCCAUGCCACUCUGCCUGCUGAGGCCGUGAGGGGACAGGGGCCAUCUCAGUUUUCCUCCCUGCAGAAUGGGCGAGCAGCGUCCUCGAGCCCCAGCGGAGCCCUGCCCUGGGGAGGUACCCGCUGUGGCCGGACGCGGGAGGACAGAGAGGACAGCCCUGUCGCGGGAAGUGCAUGGGUUGGCCUGUGGCACCGGGGACCUCAGCUGGCCUGGCACAAGUGAAAUCUCAGAAACCAAGACCCGAGGAGAGGGGACAGUCGCACAGACUGGCAAGACACGCGAUGGCUAGGAGGUGACGGAGGCGGGGACGCGCCUGCGCGGGGCACUGGCAGAUGCGCAGGAAAUGACCGCGACCCUCCUGCCCUGCCGGGGCUUGCAUUGCCGCUGUUUGGGGGCCUCGAGAGAGGGGCGGCCGUCCACAUGCUCGGUAGAUCCCAGGUCCCAGUCCAAAGUCACCCCGGGUCACCAGCACCACACUUUUUUUUCUUUUGGUGCCGGGCGCUUAGCCACCGAGCCCCAUCGGCAGCCCACUUAGUGUGUGUGGAGACGGGUUCUGCUGCCUUGCUUAGCGCCUCCCUAAGGUCCCCAAGCUGGCUUGACCUUGUGAUCCUCCUGCCUCAGCCUCCUGAGCCUCUGGGAUGACAGGCGUGGCCACCAGCCCGGGUCACCAUACUUGAAGAAGGCAUCCCUCGCCAUUUUGUAGCAUUUCUUUGGGUCAGGUGUGUGCCCCGCGUGGCCCAGGUUUCCCCAACUGUCAUGGAGGAGACAGACCAGAUGGCUCUGGGGGACUCUCCCCUCCGUCCCCUCUCUGUCCCACCCUGACUUUCCAUCAGGUGCAGGGUGACAGCAGGGGACCAGGCCAUUUUGGCCAGCUACCCCUACCCACACUCCCAGGUGGCCAAAGUGUCCUGCGGCAUCACCGUGCCGCUGAGGAGGAAGGCGACGCCGUCUGCGGCCCAGGAACCAGCCCCACACCCCGGCACCAGCGCCUUCCACAGGCCCAGCUGCGCCUGGCCCAGGGACGCAGCAGACACCAAGACGGCGCAGGCCUCGUCAUCGUCCCGUUAGCGAUGACUGGAGGUAACUUGUAACGGGGGAAACCAAACCCGAUUUGAAGAGAGGUGGGAAGGGGACUCAGCAGCAACAGGGUUUGCGUUUGGCGGUUGAACGGCGGAGCCUGGGUGAUGAGCAUCAAAAUUAUCAUCAAAAACUUUCUGGUCACCCCGGCCCAGGGAUGCUGUAGACCCAGCUGCUCCAGAGGCUGAGGAAGAGGAUCUGUUUGAGCCCAGGAGUCCAAGGCAACCUGGGUGACAUCAAGAGACCCUGCCUUGCCGGGUGCGGUGGCGCAUGCCUCUAAGCCCAGCAGCUCAGGAGGCUGAGGCAGGAGGAUCGUGAGCUCAAAGGCAGCCUCAGCAACCGCAAGGGUCUAAGCAACUCAGUGAGACCUGUCUCUAAAUAGAAUACAAAAUAGGGCUGGGGAUGGGGCUCAGUGGUCGAGGGCCCCUGAGCUCAGUCCCCGGUACCAAAAAGAAAGAAAGAAACCCUGCCUUGAAAAAAGGAAAACUUUGAAGACUGAGUGGCCCUGGGGCUCAGGGUGCUGCGGGAAUGGACAUAUUAGCAGUCCCCUUAGUGCAGUUUUGAUUUUCCCGGGCCCAGUUCCCUGCGGUCAAACAUCGCCUGAAAUAUUAAACGGAAGCUUCCAGAAACAAGUCAUUCAUAGGCUACUGAGGGCUGUCUGGGUGAGCUUCCCCCAUCCCACCCUGGGUGUGAAUUAUCCCUUUGUCCAGAGGAUCCACCGCGUAUAUGCUACCUGCCCAGCAGUCCCUUGGUAGCCAAUUUGGCCAUCAGACCCACUGUCAGUAUCACGAGGCUGUGCUCAGGAGACCCUUAGUGUUGGUGCGGGCCACUCACUCAUGCCAGAGAGACGUCGUCAACUGUGUCACUUAAGUGAAAAGAUGAAAAGUGCAAGAUAUUUUGAGAGAAGGGGGGAUGGGAGACCACACCCGGGUCACUUUGGCACACAGGAUGUGACAGUCCUUUUACCUUCAUAUGUGAGGUCGCCGUCUUUGGGCCCCAUGCAUAAGCUGAACUUCCCCGCAGGCGAGUGUGAACAGGAACCGGCCGGCUGGGCCUCCCCGGGCUCCGCACACUUGGGCUGUCUCCUGAGGGUCGGAGGCGGGGACAGGAUCUCAGCCCGGGAAUCUGCGCGGAGGAAAACUACCCACAGGGCGCAUCCUCCAUCCAGAGAACAAGUGACCAACGCAGAUUCCCGGGGAGAAAGGGAAAAGGUGGUCCACCCGGGGGAGAAAAGGCCGACCCCGCGGCCCCUGCUCCCUAAAGGGACAGAUGUCAGUGCACUGCUUGGGUGUCAGGGGCCCUCGGCACAGGGAGGUCUCCACCAGAUCUCCAAGAAGCAGUUUUAGAGAAGGAAGGAAGGAAGGAGGGAGAGNCAUGCCCUGGGACUGGAGGCACCCGGUUCCUAGAGAGCAUAAUCAGAGGGGAGCGGGACGGUUCCGAGGUGUCACUUCGCCAUCUACAGUAGCGACCUUCAGAUGCGACCUAAAUGCUAACGACAGAGGAUCAAUUAAACACACAGGCUGUUGCCAUGAAAUAAAUCACAGCGUGUGGCCUCGUCC